GAUCCUGGCUCAGGAUGAACGCUAGCUACAGGCUUAACACAUGCAAGUCGAGGGGCAGCAUUUUUAUAGCAAUAUAAAAGAUGGCGACCGGCGCACGGGUGAGUAACACGUAUCCAACCUGCCGUCUACUCUUGGACAGCCUUCUGAAAGGAAGAUUAAUACAAGAUGGCAUCAUGAGUCCGCAUGUUCACAUGAUUAAAGGUAUUCCGGUAGACGAUGGGGAUGCGUU
rnacentral:rRNA from 1 species